CGGUUGAUCCUGCCGGAGGCCAUUGCUAUUGGGAUUCGAUUUAGCCAUGCUAGUCGCACGAGCUCAGACUCGUGGCGAAUAGCUCAGUAACACGUGGCCAAACUACCCUUCGGAGCACAAUACCCUCGGGAAACUGAGGCUAAUAGUGCAUACCACAAUCCACCUGGAAUGAGGAUUGUGUCAAAUGCUCCGGCGCCGAAGGAUGUGGCUGCGGCCGAUUAGGUAGACGGUGGGGUAACGGCCCACCGUGCCAAUAAUCGGUACGGGUCAUGAGAGUGAGAACCCGGAGACGGAAUCUGAGACAAGAUUCCGGGCCCUACGGGGCGCAGCAGGCGCGAAACCUUUACACUGCACGCCAGUGCGAUAAGGGAAUCCCAAGUGCGUAGGCAUAGAGCCUACGCUUUUGUACACCGUAGGGAGGUGUACGAAUAAGGGCUGGGCAAGACCGGUGCCAGCCGCCGCGGUAAUACCGGCAGCCCGAGUGAUGGCCGAUCUUAUUGGGCCUAAAGCGUCCGUAGCUGGCCGCGCAAGUCUAUCGGAAAAUCCACCCGCUCAACGGGUGGGCGUCCGGUAGAAACUGCGUGGCUUGGGACCGGAAGGCGCGACGGGUACGUCCGGGGUAGGAGUGAAAUCCUGUAAUCCUGGACGGACCGCCGAUGGCGAAAGCACGUCGCGAGGACGGAUCCGACAGUGAGGGACGAAAGCCAGGGUCUCGAACCGGAUUAGAUACCCGGGUAGUCCUGGCCGUAAACAAUGUCUGUUAGGUGUGGCUCCCACUACGAGUGGGUGCUGUGCCGUAGGGAAGCCGCUAAACAGACCGCCUGGGAAGUACGUCCGCAAGGAUGAAACUUAAAGGAAUUGGCGGGGGAGCACUACAACCGGAGGAGCCUGCGGUUUAAUUGGACUCAACGCCGGACAUCUCACCAGCGUCGACUGUAAUAAUGACGAUCAGGUUG
rnacentral:rRNA from 1 species